GUGGUGGCAAAACUACUGAAUGUAAUGGCAGAUUCAAUGGCGGCUGUGGCGGCAGACUCAAUGGCGGCUGUGGUGGCAGAUUCAAUGGCGGCUGUGGUGGCAGAUUCCUUUGUGGCUGUUGCGGCGUAUUCAAUGGCGGAUUUGGUGUUUUGGCUGGUGUAUUUGAAGGCGGUUUUUGGAGCUGUAACUGAGAAGAAGAAGAAGAAGAUUUAGAAGUAUUGGCCGGCGGUGUAUUGACGGCUGCGGCUGCAGCUGGCAUUUGUUGCUGUUUUUGGUGGCUGCUGGUAGGCGUAUCUCCUGUUGGUGAGCGAACGACAGACAUAUCGUAAGUGUCAGGGUUAUAUCGGGCUGGCGGAAUUCCUUGAGUGCUGCGUCCACUGGUUCUUCUGGUUAGAUCUUGGUUUUGUGGCAUAAAACCGGCAGAGUUUCUUGAAUACAGGAAUAAACCUAAACUCGGCUGGCUCCCAAAUGACAAGACUGGCAGAAUUUCGGCAAAAUAUAAAAGCUGCGUUUAUUUGGUUUGUUUGUUUACAAAUAGUGAGUUUAGUUGUCGUUGUUUAUUCUCUGUAAGAAUUUUAAAAAUUUAACAAAAAUUAAGUUUACAAAAAAAAUAAAAAUAUUUAAUUUAAAAACAAUAAAAA